rnacentral:rRNA from 1 species
GAUGAACGCUGGCGGCGUGCCUAAUACAUGCAAGUCGAGCGAACGGACGAGGAGCUUGCUCCUCUGACGUUAGCGGCGGACGGGUGAGUAACACGUGGAUAACCUACCUAUAAGACUGGGAUAACUUCGGGAAACCGGAGCUAAUACCGGAUAAUAUAUUGAACCGCAUGGUUCAAUAGUGAAAGACGGUUUUGCUGUCACUUAUAGAUGGAUCCGCGCCGCAUUAGCUAGUUGGUAAGGUAACGGCUUACCAAGGCAACGAUGCGUAGCCGACCUGAGAGGGUGAUCGGCCACACUGGAACUGAGACACGGUCCAGACUCCUACGGGAGGCAGCAGUAGGGAAUCUUCCGCAAUGGGCGAAAGCUUGACGGAGCAACGCCGCGUGAGUGAUGAAGGUCUUCGGAUCGUAAAACUCUGUUAUUAGGGAAGAACAAAUGUGUAAGUAACUAUGCACGUCUUGACGGUACCUAAUCAGAAAGCCACGGCUAACUACGC